rnacentral:rRNA from 2 species
UAAGCCUGUGAAGGUGGCCUGUGAGGGUUGCUGGAGGUAUCAGAAGUGCGAAUGCUGACAUAAGUAACGAUAAAGCGGGUGAAAAGCCCGCUCGCCGGAAGACCAAGGGUUCCUGUCCAACGUUAAUCGGGGCAGGGUGAGUCGACCCCUAAGGCGAGGCCGAAAGGCGUAGUCGAUGGGAAACGGGUUAAUAUUCCCGUACUUGGUGUUACUGCGAAGGGGGGACGGAGAAGGCUAUGUUGGCCGGGCGACGGUUGUCCCGGUUUAAGCGUGUAGGUGUGUGUUCCAGGUAAAUCCGGUUCACUUUAACACUGAGGCGUGAUGACGAGGCACUAUGGUGCUGAAGCAACAAAUGCCCUGCUUCCAGGAAAAGCCUCUAAGCAUCAGGUAACAUCAAAUCGUACCCCAAACCGACACAGGUGGUCAGGUAGAGAAUACCAAGGCGCUUGAGAGAACUCGGGUGAAGGAACUAGGCAAAAUGGUGCCGUAACUUCGGGAGAAGGCACGCUGACAC